rnacentral:rRNA from 1 species
UACGGAGGGAGCUAGCGUUAUUCGGAAUUACUGGGCGUAAAGCGCACGUAGGCGGCUUUGUAAGUAAGAGGUGAAAGCCCAGAGCUCAACUCUGGAAUUGCCUUUAGACUGCAUCGCUUGAAUCAUGGAGAGGUCAGUGGAAUUCCGAGUGUAGAGGUGAAAUUCGUAGAUAUUCGGAAGAACACCAGUGGCGAAGGCGGCUGACUGGACAUGUAUUGACGCUGAGGUGCGAAAGCGUGGGGAGCGAACCGG